GGGGAAGGGGUGUGCUGCCAGGGUUGACAGAGGGUUUGUGUUCAAGACUGUAUCACGGUGUUAUGUGUUUGGCGCAGGGACCCAAGUGACCGUCCUUGCCUGCUCCUGCUCUGAAGCACCUGGUGGAGACAGGAUGCACCGGUUCCAGUGACCCCCCCACACACGCCCCUCCUCGCUGUGACUCAGAGCUGCUUCUCCAGUUGACCAUCUCCUCUGGCCUCUGGGUUAGUAGGAAUCCUCAGUUUUCCUUCUGGGGUAGUUUCAUUCUUACCCAGAAUAGCCCAGAGAAUGUUCCAGAAUAGAAGGUAAGCCAGCAGGACAGCCCAUCCUCUGCUCCCUCCCUAUAUUCAUCCUCCUUGUGUGGACCAUGUCCACCCCGAGCAGUCUUGGGGCCCAUUGCCCAUGGCUCCCCAUGGCCUCCCGGUUAAAGGUUAAGCUCCUCCCUGAAUCCUGGGUUCUCACAGGCUGGGACUGUGAGGCAAGAAGCCUCUCCUCGGAAGGGAGGAGAGCCUGAAAGGUGGAUACCGUGUUAAAGACAGACAGACCCAGCCAGCCAGACAGAAGCCCCAUAUGAAGGUACGAGGGAGAGUAACCUGGGGGGGAACUCAGACAGACCGAUGCUGGAGGACAGAUGGAUUUCUCCAGAAGCUCUAAGGUCUCAAGGCUGAUGCCAGCCAGGAACAGGGCAGCUCAGGGGUGGGAUGGCGAGUUUUGAGGACAGGUGAACCUGCAGAGGGACUGAGACCAAAGAGAGGGUGCCAGGGCUCCCCUGAUUUGGGCACUGGGAUGUUCCCAACAGACCUGGGGUCACACCUGUCAUCCCCAGCCCUGCUCCCAGCACCCAAUCAGCUCUCAAUAAAAUGUCCUUUUGUCAAUCAGAAA